GCAACGUAAGCUUGUUCAGGAUUAAUAAAGUGAACAUGUGUAUCAAUACCGCCGGCUGUAACGAUUUUACCUUCUCCAGAGAUAAUAUCAGUUGAUGCCCCAAUAAUAAUAUCUACAUCAUCCAUAAUAUCUGGGUUUCCGGCUUUACCGUAUUUCAUGAUAUAACCAUUUUUAAUACCUAAGUCUGCUUUAUAAACUUUAUCGUAAUCAAUAAUUACAGCAUUUGUAAUUACAGUAUCAGCAACAUAGCGAUCAUCACGUGUAACGUUUGGGUUUUGCGCCAUACCGUCACGUAC
rnacentral:sRNA from 1 species